UUCCGGGCGGGACCCGGGCGAGCGCUUCGUGCUUUACCCUCCUGGUCCGGGAAGCUUAGGAAUGGCGGGUGCCCUGAUCGAUUGGGCUCAUUAACGUUUGCAGUGGGCUUUGGUGUCUGCUUUAGAAUUAGCUGUUGAAAUCUUGGUAACGUGUCUUCUUUCCUGGUCUCUUUUUCUUGGACGAGCUUGAGCGUGUGGUGUUAAAAGCGAGGGUGAAAACCUCUGAGACCACCCUUCUCUUUUCACAUUACGUUUGGAAAAGCAUACUAGAUCUGAAGCUCCUGGGAUGGGGACACCGGCUAGCAUCCGAGAGAGCAUAAACCUAGUCUGACUUACUUUCCAGGUAGAAGUCCAAUGAAUAAUUGCAAUUUCGUGUGUCAAGGCUUUCCACGCUCUCCUUGCCAGAUGUGGGGACUUUUUUGUGUCCUUUCCCUUAUACUGUGGGUAAUGGCGUUUGCAGUGAAGCUAGUACAAAAUACAGUGUAGAGUAUGCAAAGAAUGUCUGUCCCUUCUUGUUAACACAGGGAUGCAGAUCUUGCUAGUGGUAACAAGAGAGGGGAGAGGAUACAUUCCUACCUGAGGUCAAGAUUUCUGUAUCCCUCUUCCAGUUUACAGACUGAUUCGACUACUUAAAAAAUUAAUAACCCAAAUACAGUAAAUUCUUAUGAUACAAUCAAUACUUAUAAAACAAAUAUUUAUAAUGCAUAAAUAAUGUACUAAUUUUAAUAACGUACUAACCUUAAUUAUUAAGCAAUACAGGUAUCUAGCCUGCAAGGCAGACGCAGCUCUGCCUUCAUUCAGUUUACAGUUUGGUGGAGUGUUACGUUCAGUCUGUUCAUCCACAGAGAAGUUGGAAGGAAGUCAACCAGUUUUUAUGUCAUCCCUGUGCCAGGUACUUUCAUAUGAUAUUUAAUCUUCACUAUUCUAUGAAAAAUCUUUCCUAACCUGGAAGAUAGGCAUCACUGUGCACGUUUUACAGAUGAGACGAUAGAGAUUCAGAGAAAUUUAGUCAUAAGAGCUAGUAAAUGGGAAAGAACGAACUUCCAAAAAGGUUGUGUGACUCUAAACUUGCGCCAUAUUCUGCUCAUCUCACACUGGCUCUCACAAGGUGGGCAGGUCCAGAGAAUGGGCCUGGAUGACUGUAAAAUCAGCAUUAGAGCCAGAAAAAAGCUUCGUGCCUUCCCUUAUUGAUUGAUUGUAGGCUUGACAGCGUCAUUUAUAUGAAGGACAGCAAAACUGUAGUGAGGUGUUCGACAGCAGCCCAAGUGCCUUUUAGGUAAUGAAGUAGAAAAUACAGAACUUGGGAAAGACAUAUUCUCUGUGUUCAGGUAACUGACAAAUGUGAAAGGCAAGAUGAAGGGCCAGGCACAUAAAUGAUUUGACUCGAAACAAAAUGUCUGAAAUGAUUAUAAACACACAGUUCAGGUGCUGAAAUGGGCCUACGAAUUUGAAAAAUCCCAUUUCCUCCUCCUCCCUUUUGCCUUGCCUAAGGGUGUGCAAUGAGGAAGUGCCUCACUGCCUGACAAUGAGGCUGACUCGGAGAACAGCUAUUUUCUGCUGGCUUCUGAGUCACUCUAAGAGUAGUCCUAGGGAAUCAGCUCCUCCCUCCUCCCCUCCUUCCUUUUAUAGCUGUUAACACACCACCACUCAUUCUACUCCAGGCUAUAGUGCUCUAUGGCCUACUCCCUUUACAUCAACUGUCAGCUCUCCUGACUCCCUCCUGCUUAUUGUGGGAGAACUAGCAAGAAGAUCACCUUUGCCCUGGAAGAUUCAGAAUCCUGAAGGGUUCAGAUUGCUUUUGUUAACAAAUGGUCUGGGCUACCAAUCCAAUGCCACCAGGAGUCCCCAGUCUGGGGUAUGGGUGUGAGGUGGGGUGAAGAAGAGGCUUUAUUCUGGUAAACUUUUUGCAAACUGGGGACAACGUAGUCUCUGCGGGAAAUAACAGCUCCAGGAAAAAAGCAGCCUAACGGAGAAAGGGAGAAGGGGAAACGGAAAGCACAGGCCCUGAGACAAAUGGCAUACUGCUGUCCUGAUGUAAACUGCUGCCCUGCUAUAAACUGCUGCCCUGAUCCUUGAUUGGUUCAUUUUUAUGCAAAUAAAGCAUCAAAAUGUUCACAAUUAGAUUGGUCCAAAUAGCACUGUCCUGAUUGGUCAGAAUCACACGUUCUGAUUGGUUGUAAUGGAGCCACUCUGAUUGGUUGGUAAAGAUGCAAAUGAGGCUAUGUCCCACAGCUCUGAUUGGAUAGGGUAGUCUCAGCCCAUUGGUUGAAAUUACGAUUUCAGGAACUCCUUUAUAAGGUUCCACUCAGACUUCUGGAAGGCGGUGCAGGAGGCAUGGCUUAGUCUGUGGCGGUGUACUUGAGGGGCCUCUGCAAACAAUGGUCGCUGGACUCUUGAUUAUGAAUUUGGGCCCACUUAACCACAAGGAGUCCUUUUUGACAGGUCCCUCCCAGCUCCUCUAGAAGUGGAUCCAUCCGGUGGUCGCAGUCUAGAAGCUGGAGAGGGCUCUCCAGGCGGAGAUGAGGCUGAAGCCGGAAGGAGGGUGGGCUCUCCAUGGCGCCCUGCAUUUCCCCCCAUCAUUUGUUUCCACGAAGGCCUUUCUGAGUAUUCCUGCAGCGUUCUCUUCCUUGCUUGAUCGGCUCUAUGAAGGAGACCCGGCCGGGGAGUGGAGAGAUUUCUGGGCGUGGCCCUCACUGCGUUCCUGAGCUUAUUGCUCCCUCUAGUGCUGAGCGCUCUAUGGUGUUCCUGUGGUUUUGUUCAUUAACGGCUGGAUCUCACAGCCUCAAGGAAGACACUUUGACUCCCUGGUCGGGCUUCCUCACUCUGGCUGUUCGGGACCCGCCUGCCUCCCGCCUGCUGCCUGAGCCCUUGACCUGCCAGGUAGGACUAUCCACGGCUUCAACCAGGGUUUAAGGGACAGAAUUAAACAUUUUAAGCCGUCUUGUAAUUCCUUACACUUACUUAAAACUCCAAGCUGUCAAGUAACAAGAUAAAUGUAUAGUUUAUCCAUCU